rnacentral:rRNA from 1 species
AUUGAACGCUGGCGGCAGGCUUAACACAUGCAAGUCGAGCGGGGUGAUGGUGCUUGCACUAUCACUUAGCGGCGGACGGGUGAGUAAUGCUUAGGAAUCAGCCUAUUAGUGGGGGACAACAUCUCGAAAGGGAUGCUAAUACCGCAUACGUCCUACGGGAGAAAGCAGGGGAUCACUUGUGACCUUGCGCUAAUAGAUGAGCCUAAGUCGGAUUAGCUAGUUGGGGGGGUAAAGGCCUACCAAGGCGACGAUCUGUAGCGGGUCUGAGAGGAUGAUCCGCCACACUGGGACUGAGACACGGCCCAGACUCCUACGGGAGGCAGCAGUGGGGAAUAUUGGACAAUGGGGGGAACCCUGAUCCAGCCACGCCGCGUGUGUGAAGAAGGCCUUAUGGUUGUAAAGCACUUUAAGCGAGGAGGAGGCUCUUUUGGUUAAUACCCAAGAUGAGUGGACGUUACUCGCAGAAUAAGCACCGGCUAACUCUGUGCCAGCCGCCGCAGUAA